UAAAUGACUCUCGGCAACGGAUAUCUCGGCUCUCGCAUCGAUGAAGAACGUAGCGAAAUGCGAUACUUGGUGUGAAUUGCAGAAUCCCGUGAACCAUCGAGUCUUUGAACGCAAGUUGCGCCCGAAACCACUCGGUUGAGGGCACGUCUGCCUGGGCGUCACGC
rnacentral:rRNA from 1 species